AGAGUUUGAUCCUGGCUCAGAUUGAACGCUAGCGGGAUGCCUUACACAUGGAAGUCGAACGGCAGCGCGGGCUUCGGCCUGGCGGCGAGUGGCGAACGGGUGAGUAAUGCAUCGGAACGUACCCAGUAGUGGGGGAUAACCACGCGAAAGCGUGGCUAAUACCGCAUACGCCCUUAGGGGGAAAGGGGGGGGAUCCUUCGGGACCUCUCGCUAUUGGAGCGGCCGAUGUCGGAUUAGCUAGUUGGUGGGGUAAAGGCCUACCAAGGCGACGAUCCGUAGCUGGUUUGAGAGGACGACCAGCCACACUGGGACUGAGACACGGCCCAGACUCCUACGGGAGGCAGCAGUGGGGAAUUUUGGACAAUGGGGGAAACCCUGAUCCAGCCAUCCCGCGUGUGCGAUGAAGGCCUUCGGGUUGUAAAGCACUUUUGGCAGGAAAGAAAUAGG
rnacentral:rRNA from 1 species